UAGCGCAACGGUAGCGCGUUCGACUCCAGAUCGAAAGGUGUACGUAAUCCAGGUGCAGCUCCGUGAGGUAAAAUACUUACAAAUAUUUCUAGUAUCCGUUCAAAUCGGGU
rnacentral:tRNA from 1 species